CGCUCUGGUGGCCUCAGUGGCUAGAGUACCCGUAUCGGAUGUGGGAGGUUACGGGUUCGAACCCCGGCCGAGUCA